rnacentral:rRNA from 1 species
GGCUUAGAGUUUGAUCAUGGCUCAGGAUGAACGCUGGCGGCGUGCCUAACACAUGCAAGUCGAGCGAUUUACUUCAGUAAAGAGCGGCGGACGGGUGAGUAACGCGUGGGUAACCUGCCCUGUACACACGGAUAACAUACCGAAAGGUAUGCUAAUACGAGAUAAUAUGCUUUUAUCGCAUGGUAGAAGUAUCAGAGCUUUUGCGGUACAGGAUGGACCCGCGUCUGAUUAGCUAGUUGGUAAGGUAACGGCUUACCAAGGCGACGAUCAGUAGCCGACCUGAGAGGGUGAUCGGCCACAUUGGAACUGGGACACGGUCCAAACUCCUACGGGAGGCAGCAGUGGGGAAUAUUGCACAAUGGGCGAAAGGCUGAUGCAGCAACGCCGCGUGAGCGAUGAAGGCCUUCGGGUCGUAAAGCUCUGUCCUCAAGGAAGAUAAUGACGGUACUUGAGGAGGAAGCCCCGGCUAACUACGUGCCAGCAGCCGCGGUAAUACGUAGGGGGCUAGCGUUAUCCGGAAUUACUGGGCGUAAAGGGUGCGUAGGUGGUUUCUUAAGUCAGAGGUGAAAGGCUACGGCUCAACCGUAGUAAGCCUUUGAAACUGGGAAACUUGAGUGCAGGAGAGGAGAGUGGAAUUCCUAGUGUAGCGGUGAAAUGCGUAGAUAUUAGGAGGAACACCAGUUGCGAAGGCGGCUCUCUGGACUGUAACUGACACUGAGGCACGAAAGCGUGGGGAGCAAACAGGAUUAGAUACCCUGGUAGUCCACGCCGUAAACGAUGAGUACUAGCUGUCGGAGGUUACCCCCUUCGGUGGCGCAGCUAACGCAUUAAGUACUCCGCCUGGGAAGUACGCUCGCAGAGUGAAACUC